GUUGUUACCCUUAUGUGGCUUAAAUCCCAUUCAUCUGUAUACUUUCUCUCUCUCCCACCCAACCCACCCAAACUUUCUCUCUCCUCCCACUGAACCAACACCACUCCUCACCCCGUCACCAUUUUCGCCCCCGCUACCGUCGCCAACCUCAGCCAGGGUUUGACUUUCUCUGGUGCACCGUCGAUGGCAUCGGUGACCCGGUCAACUCUCUAUCUCCUCCAUUGGUGUUGUCGAUGAGUGAGAUUUCAUCAAGGUGAGAGGCGUUGAUUAAGGGGAGGAGAAGACGGCGAGAGGAGUUGAUCCCGAAGCGGAGGAGAGAGAAUUAGGAAAAAUCGGGUUGCAGAGGAAGAGGAGCUUCCACCAUCGUUGGGCGGAGAUGACGGAGGAGGGACAACACCAGAAACGUCCAUGGUUGGCGUGGUCAUGGUGGGUGAAUUCGGCGGCAAUUUCGGUGGGAGAAAUUAGGGUUUUGAGUCCGGGAAGUUUCGGUCCAAAAUUUCGAAGCUCUCAAGUAAUAAGGCGGUUUUCGGAUGUUGGAAGAUCGCUUUCAAUAUACUGCAGUUUGCUUCGGAGGAGGAACUGUCGAUUGAGAAUUACACUGAACGAGGUGUCAUUGGUGUCACAGAAGAGGUGGUGUCGUUUGCUAGGGAUGUUGCUAUCAUGCUAUGCAUCCUGAGACUUGGAUUGAUUUCCCUUUGCCUGAGGAUGACGAGGAUGAAGAUGAAUUGUGCAUCUCAAAUUCCUAAACAUCAUUAUAUCAUGUCUCUGAACAACACUCUGAAGCUCAAUAUCAGUUAAAGCUCUAUUGUGAAGCUGGUGACAUAAACACGAUUCAGCUGCAAUAGAUUAUCAGAUGAAGGUUAAAGGCGGAAUAUUUGAAGUUAUUACUUUGGUUUGCUGUUGGAAUUGGGACUGCAAAACUAAUUUGCGUUCUACUGGUGUGGUUCUUUCUAUUUAAGGGUGGAAAUGGCUCAAGCAAGGUAACCAAGAAUGUGAUGCAUUGUAGUACAAGAGUGAUUGUAAAUGUUCAUUGCAAGGGUAUUAUUACCGGCUUACUUUGAAUUUUCAAGAGCUUUUAUAGACUUUCAAAUGUAAUGGCAAUGGCAAUAUAAUCAGAGUUUUUGUAAAGCUACUCUGCAAAUUAAUCGGCUUUUUAUGGAAUAUAAUUCCUAUUUAUUGCUGGAAA